rnacentral:rRNA from 1 species
UACGAAGGGGGCUAGCGUUGUUCGGAAUUCCUGGGCGUAAAGGGCGCGUAGGCGGUGUGUCAAGUCAGGCGUGAAAGCCCCGGGCUCAACCUGGGAACCGCGCUUGAGACUGGCACGCUCGAGUUCGGGAGAGGAUGGUGGAAUUCCCAGUGUAGAGGUGAAAUUCGUAGAUAUUGGGAAGAACACCGAUGGCGAAGGCAGCCAUCUGGACCGACACUGACGCUGAGGCGCGAAAGCGUGGGGAGCAAACAGG